GAUGAACGCUGGCGGCGUGCCUAAUACAUGCAAGUCGAGCGAACAGACGAGGAGCUUGCUCCUCUGACGUUAGCGGCGGACGGGUGAGUAACACAUGGAUAACCUACCUAUAAGACUGGGAUAACUUCGGGAAACCGGAGCUAAUACCGGAUAAUAUAUUGAACCGCAUGGUUCAAUAGUGAAAGACGGUUUUGCUGUCACUUAUAGAUGGAUCCGCGCCGCAUUAGCUAGUUGGUAAGGUAACGGCUUACCAAGGCAACGAUGCGUAGCCGACCUGAGAGGGGGAGCGGACACACGGGAAGAGAGACAGGCCCCAGACACCUAGGGGGGGCAGAAGGGGGGAAUCUUCCGAAAGGGGGGAAGGCCGAACGGAGCAACGCGGGGGGAGGAAUGAGGUUCUUGGGAUCUAAAAACUGUUUAAUGAGGAAGAAAAAAAUGGGAAAUAAACUUGGCGGGUCUGGACGGUACAUAAAAAAAAAGCCACGGCAAACUACGUG
rnacentral:rRNA from 1 species